CUCACGUUGUGGCUGCAGUUUACUUGCAAGAUACCAACCAAACACUAAUAUUUGGAUAGACUCUUGGCUACGUACAGUUCCUCACCCAGGAUGCCUUUCAAAGCUGGAUUAGAACUGACUGAAUUGCAGAAUAUGACUGUUCCUGAAGAUGAUAACAUCAGCAAUGAUUCAAAUGAUUUCACAGAGGUGGAAAAUGGCCAGAUAAAUAGCAAGUUUAUUUCGGAUCGCGAAAGCAGAAGAAGUCUUACAAACAGUCACCUGGAAAAAAAGAAAUGUGAUGAAUAUAUUCCAGGAACUACUUCACUGGGAAUGUCUGUCUUUAAUCUCAGCAAUGCUAUUAUGGGCAGUGGAAUUUUAGGCCUUGCUUUUGCAUUGGCCAACACAGGAAUUCUCCUUUUUUUGCUGCUUUUGGUUUCAGUGACGUUGUUAUCUAUUUAUUCAAUAUAUCUCCUGUUGGUGUGUUCAAAGGAAACAGGCUGCAUGGUAUAUGAAAAGCUUGGUGAGCAGGUCUUUGGUACCCCAGGAAAAAUGAUUAUUUUUGGAUCUACAUCUCUUCAGAAUGUUGGAGCAAUGUUGAGCUAUCUCUUCAUAGUCAAAAACGAGUUGCCUUCUGCCAUAAAGUUUCUAAUGGGAAAAGAAGAAUCCUUUUCGGCAUGGUACGUGGAUGGAAGGUUUCUUGUUGUCGCUGUGACGUUUGGUAUAAUCCUCCCUUUAUGUCUCCUUAAGAACUUAGGGUAUCUUGGCUAUACCAGUGGAUUUUCAUUAAGCUGCAUGGUAUUUUUCCUCAUAGUGGUUAUAUACAAGAAGUUUCAAAUUUCCUGUUAUGAACUGGGGCUAAAUGCAACAUCACCUAUCUUAUCAAAUAGCUCAGAACAUGAGCAUAUGUGUAAGCCAAAGUAUGUUAUCUUUAAUUCCAAGACUGUGUAUGCCUUGCCCACCAUUGCUUUUGCUUUUGUGUGCCACCCAUCAGUCCUUCCCAUCUACAGCGAACUUAAAGACCGUUCACAGAAAAAAAUGCAGUUGGUUUCAAAUAUCUCAUUUUUUGCCAUGUUUGUGAUGUACUUUAUGACUGCCAUAUUUGGCUAUAUGACUUUCUAUGACAGUGUGCAGUCAGAUCUGCUUCACAAUUACCAUAGUAAAGAUGACAUCCUUAUCCUGACAGUGCGUUUAGCUGUAAUUGUUGCAGUGAUACUCACAGUGCCAGUGCUGUUUUUCACUGUGCGUUCAUCAUUAUUUGAGCUGGCUAAAAAAAAAAAAUUUGACCUAUGCUGUCAUGUUUUGGUUACUUUUGUUCUUUUGGUUAUCAUCAACCUGUUAGUCAUUUUCAUCCCAACCAUGGAGGAUAUUUUCGGAGUUGUAGGGGUUACUUCUGCCAAUAUGCUGAUUUUCAUUCUUCCUUCAUCUUUGUAUUUAAAAAUUACACAUCAGGAUGGAGCAAAAUUGACUCAGAGGAUUUGGGCUUCUCUUUUCUUGGCACUGGGGAUAAUGUUUUCCCUAGUGAGCAUUCCUUUGGUCAUCUACAAUUGGGUACAGUAGUGCCGAAAGCCACUAAAAGCUAACCUCGUUAUGAAAAGGAGACAUCCCUGUUUGCUACACACCAAAAUCGCAACCAUCCGUUCUGUUAUCUAUUCCAUCUUUUGUUUAUACAUUCUUAACAGAAUGCAAUAGACCCUGCUGUAACUGUCAACAUCAGUGAUGGAUGACAAUAUUUGUAUGAGGUUAUCUGUAAAAUGUACUGCUGUUAUUCAGUUCAUUUGGAAUAGUGAACUUGUAGCCAAUGAUGUACGAGUCCCACAUUUUAGCUAGGAUUUUAAAAGCACAGUGAAAUGCUGUAGGAGUUUCUCUGUUGUAAAAUUAAUAGGAUCCAGAGUACCGUAUCUACUUAGUAGGUGGUAGCAUGCUUUCUUUUCAUAGAGAGUUUAUCACUAGUGUGAGCACUGCAAAUUUCAUAGACUGGAUGCAAAACUGCUCCUAAUAACUACAACAAAAUACUUGAAAGUUAUUGUGUGCAUAAUAACAACAAUUGAAUGGUGAGGGACAAGGAAGGUCUACUUAGAAACAGGGGCUCCUAGUGAGAUUGUAGGAGUUAACCCUAUGCUUACAAGCUGGCCUUGCUGCCUCUCCUAGCCCACAGCACAUUGCAAAGAAAAUACUCGUUAGCUUAAACCACCCUUACGGUUGCAGAAUACAGCUAUUGUUCUCUCUCUCCAGUGGUAAACAUGCAUAAUAAAGAAAAUAGAAUAAAUUGUUAUUUGGGAACAAUAUCUGGGGAGUAGUGAUCUCUCCAGGUGACACUUUCUUCUGGUCAGAGGGCCAAUGGCAAAUCUGUGCACCGGCUCAGACCUUUUGUAGAGCCAAAGCGGAGCCUGAGUGGCACCCAGCCCUAGCACAGGCAGGCCUAGUGCAGAAAGGCCAGGCUCAUCCUGUGAGAUCAAGGAUACCUGUCUACGCCCGAGGGCUGCUUUCCUGAGCUACGUAAAAAUCCAUAGCCUGUGCUCCUCUUGGAUAGGUCAAACACGUAAAUGCAGGCUGGACAGCGUAUGGAGAUUCUGUGGGUUUUGUCUGUAUGUCUGCCUUACAAUACAUAAGCGCCAUCGCUAUUUCUGAGAUGGUGCAUUAAUAACUAACAGUAAUAAUUAAUGGUAUCUCUAGUUCAUCUUUAAAUCGAUACGUUUCUUUGCUUGAACCUUACAUUAAGGCUAAAGAGCAUCUUGGUCAAAAUAAAACUCUUUCCAUGUGGUGUUGUCCCACCUCCAGUCCUACAGUCCCACCCCUGGUGUCUUUAGGAGAAAGGCACAGCAGAAUGUAUUCAGUUCCAUCAGCAAUUCCAAGAAAUGGCUUUAUCAGCUGAUACCACAGUGCUCUCUUAAAAAAAUUCCCAAGAGCACUUGGCAUCAGGAAAAUCUUUAUUUCCUAUAACCUAUACAAAGAAUGUUUUAUUUGUAUCUAAUGUAAGGAUUUCUGUAACAAACUGUGAAAAAGAUAAAGAAUUAAUAAAAAGUACAGGGCUGGAAAGGUCUAGAGUUCACAAAUUGUACACAUGCCUAUGUUUCUGAAGACAAAUCUAUGCAGUUGUGUUGUAUUGUAGGAAAUUUCAUUUUUAUGUAUAUAUAUAUAUUGUAAAUAAAUAGGAUGCUGUAUAUUUUUGCAGUUCUUUAUCCCCUAUGAUAUAGAAGUGUUGAAAUAGUCUCUGCAUAUUAAGAAUAAUUUUAAUAGAAAUACAAAUACUUUAGCUUCUGACUUAGCAAAAUGUAUAUCCUUUCCUUUCUCCCAAGAGUUCACAAGUUAAAUUCUUAACUUGAAAUUAUAAUUACAUUGCUUAACGCAACAAAUAAAAGAAAAAUAAAAGGUCCGAUGAAAUUGCUAGAAUUAAUUCCAGUGCACGUCUCCCUGUUUUCUCAAUAGCAAACUAUCCAGUCUUGCUGCUGGGUAAGAUGUCUCCCUAUGUAAGGGGCCUAUUUAGCACCCAGAUACCUCUUACUUCCUCAGCAGAUCUCACAUGGCAUUAAUGUGCAGAAAAGGCCUUGUGCAGAAACUGGAGCAAACUGCAGCCAGCAUUUUGUCCCAGCGCUAUGCCAUGUUGAUAUUUCAGGCAUGUAUACCAAUAUUUUCCACAGAAGGCAACUAGUACAAAUAGAAGUCGGAUCAGGACUUCUGCGUUUCCCUUUCAGCCACAAGACGUGGCUGUAGUUCAGAAAAAGUACUCUAAGCCAGGGGUGGGCAACAACCAGAACAAUUCAUGCUGUUUAUAGCCUGCUCCCUGCAGCUCCAUUUCUGCAGAGUCCGGUGGCUGUUCCUCCAUCUCAGAUCCAGGCAUGCUGCUAUCUUGUGGCCAAAACACGAGCACCUCCCAGUUGAGGAGAGGGCGCUCUGGCCAGCUGACAAGGGACUGCUUGCACCUCCCGUUACACAGGGGGGCUUCUUAGGCCACGAUGGGGUGCCAGUGUUUUGGUCUUGGGAUACGUGCACAUCCAGGGGCGGAGAUGCUGGAAGGGGGACAGUUGUGUAUGUCCUGAGAGUGCCUCCAUGAGAGCCCAGCCUCGGCUGUAAGGUGAAGUGCUGCUAUAGGCAAGUGCCGCAUAGAAUUUCUCACUUGUAAAACACAGAAGUGUAAUUUUCAGAACUGAUGAAAAACAGAGGUUGAGGAAUGUAUCUAAAAAUAAAUGUAUUUUUUCCAUGUUUGCUUUAUAGUCUUGGAUGAAAGUGAAACUUGAAGUAACGUUUGUUUUCACCACGAGCACAAAUUUAAGGAAAAACUUACACGCAGUCACUUUUACAGACCUUUUCAAACUAAUACAAAUGUACAUUUCGUUUGCAGUGUUAUAGCCAACAAAAUAUAAACUGUAAAGGUAUUUUUCCACAAGACUUGAACUUUGACUUGUUUAUAUAAACCUGUUUUUAAGAGUCCCAAGGUAUGUUAAGGCUCACCCAGAUCCACUAUAAACAAUACUGUUUGAAUGAUGUACACUUGAUAUGAGCGCAUCUCUAGUAGAUUGUUCAAGUGAGUCAUUGUAAUAUUUUGCUUCCUGCUAACAUCACCAUACUUUGUGCUGUUCAUGUUCAAAUAAACAAUGCAGUUUUUCAGUUUCUGUGUGUAAAUAAAAAAUGUAUUAAGUUCUAUAAUCUCUUGUUACCUCUAUAGUUUUUAAACAUUAAAACUGUGA